GAAUGUUCGUCUGCAAGUUGUUUAUUAGUUUUUAGUUUUCUUUUUCUUUUUCUUUUUCUUUUCUUCUUUUCUUCUUCUUCUUCUUUUCUUUUUCUUAUUUUCAUGAUGAUCGGUAAAACUAGAAAUAGUAAAUUACUUAAUAAAGUAGCAAACGUUGACAAAACUUCAACACAAAGAACGCGUAAACAAAAACUAAUUAAAAUGAUGGAAUUAAUGGUUAAGGAACACAAUGCCAGCUUUAUCAUUUUCAUGCAUUUUCCCAACAAUCAUGAAAGUGUGAUUAACGUACAAAAGUUAGGUGACUUUGCCAUUUUGCAGUUUCAAAAAAACCCUGCAUGUAACUUGAACGGGAUGAGUUUAAGGCAGCAGCAGUCCAGUUCCAAUUGAAUAGAAAAUCUGGCACAGACAAAGAAGAGGAAAUUUCCGUUCUCGGACACCACACUCCUAAUGUUCCAGAUCCCUCAAUCAACAUGGACUCUGUUCUUGCCACAGGCUCAGUGAAAUCUCAUCAAACUCCUGGGGUAGUUUCAGAAAACCCUGCUUCUACUGCUAAUACAACCAGGCCUCAUGCAACUGUUGUCCAUUCUCGUGGCUCAGUUCCACCUCGCCAAGCUGCUGUAGCAGACUUUUUGUUGAAUUGAUGAGCCAGCAAAAGCUUUUCGAAAAGUCGGCAGUUGCUUCACAUUCUAGGGUGCAAUCCACGUCAGCAAUGUCGAAAACCAAGAAGAAAGCUGAAAAACUGAUAGAUAUUAUCAAUUCUCUCCUUAUGGAAACAGUGCUAGAAUCCAGCCCUCCUGAUUUGAAACCCGAAGCUUACAUAACUUCCCAAGACUUCCUAAAUGAGGUUUUUCCCUGGAAAAUGGAAGGAGAAAAAGAAGGAGAAUAAUUUUUUAAUUAAUACCUGGAUGCUGAAAUUGAGAUAUCAAGAGGAAAUCCCCCAAACAGAAAACGCAUCAAAAGCCAACUUUCAUUUCUGUCAAUGCGAGAAUUUGAAGACGUCGCCGUUAAUCCAGGAAAAAUCGCGCUAUCAAAGGAAGAAAUUAAGCGACUAGAAGUGGUUUUGGAAGAUUCCCCUAAUCAAUUAAAAAAAGCAUUGAAUUUUUCGCAUACUGAUGUGAACAAUGAUUUGUCUGAUUAUGAAGAUUUUUUAGUGUAGUUGAAAUAAAAUGCUUUUGAUGUCUGAA